rnacentral:rRNA from 1 species
GACAGAGGGUGCAAACGUUGUCCGGAAUACUGGGCGUAAAGCGCGUGUAGGCGGUCUCGCAAGUCGGAUGUGAAAGCCCAGGGCUCAACCCUGGAAGUGCACUCGAUACUGCGAGGCUAGAGUCCCGGAGAGGAUGGUGGAACUCUCGGUGUAGAGGUGAAAUUCGUAGAUAUCGAGAAGAACACCGGUGGCGAAGGCGGCCAUCUGGACGGUGACUGACGCUGAGACGCGAAAGCGUGGGGAGCAAACAGG